rnacentral:lncRNA from 1 species
UAGCCCUCUUCGAAAAUUUUAUUCUAAAAAUAAAACCGUUAAAUUUUUAUUUAUAAAUAUGGUCCUAUAAAAACGGUAAAUGAUUCACCGCUUUUAAAAGCGGUGAACCAUUCAUCGCUUUCUUUAUUUUUUUCACUUCUUUUUAUAUUUCUACGAUGGUAAAAGCAGUGAAUGGUUCAUCGCUUUUAUUCUUUUUCUACUUCUAAAGAAGAAUUAUGAAUACGGUGAAUCAUUCACCGCAUUUAGAGGUCUAUUUUUAUAAUUAUUUUUUAAAAAAAUUAUUUUUAUAAUUAUAAAAAUCGAUAGGAUUAUUUAUAAAAAAAAUUCCUU